AUUUCACCUGCAAAUAUCCUUUUCCAUUCUUUCUGGACCCUCCUUUCUUCCUUCCCCCCUGUACUGUGCUCUGGGAACAACCCAGACAACAAGCAAGCACCUCUCGGAUCCAGUAAAGAUGCAGGCACCUUCUGAAGACCGUACUGGAAGUCACUGAUCCGUCUAAUGACAACACUGUAGGACUAUCACAAGAAGGAAGAAAAGGGAUUCUUUCACUCUGCAUAACCAAGACCUGAGAAACCACAUCUCUACAGAAAACAGAACAUUAGGAGUUUGAGCAUGUCACAGGAAGCAACACAUCCCAAAUACUGCAGCAAAACGGCUGGAUAUCCACACAAGCACAUGCAACAACAGCCAACCUG